rnacentral:rRNA from 1 species
AUUGAACGCUGGCGGAAUGCUUUACACAUGCAAGUCGAACGGCAGCACGGGUGCUUGCACCUGGUGGCGAGUGGCGAACGGGUGAGUAAUGUAUCGGAACGUAUCCAUUAAUGGGGGCUAACUAAUCGAAAGGUUGGCUAAUACCGCAUACGCCCUACGGGGGAAAGCAGGGGAUCUUCGGACCUUGCUUUAAUGGAGCUGCCGAUAUCUGAUUAGCUAGUUGGUGGGGUAAAGGCUCACCAAGGCGACGGUCAGUAGCUGGUCGGAGAGGACGAACAGCCGAACUGAAACGGAGAGACGGUCCAGACUCCUAGGGGAGGCAGCAGAGGGGAAUUUUGGACAAUGGGGUCAACCCUGAUCCGGCCGUUCCGCGUGAGUGAAGAAGGCCUUCGGGUUGUAAAGCUCUUUCGCAAGGGAAGAAACGAUACAGUCUUAUAAACUGUGUUAAUGACGGUACCUUGAUAAGAAGCACCGGCUAACUACGUGCCAGCCGCCGCCGUAA